rnacentral:rRNA from 1 species
GGGCCUGCGUUUCAUUAGCUAGWUGGUAGGGGAAUGGCCUACCAAGGCAACGAUGAGUAGCUGGUCUGAGAGGAUGAUCAGCCAC